CUCUCUAGGACCUAACACCGCCCGGCCCGGGGGGCGGGACUCCUGUAUUGUGACGUCACGCGGAGGCGGGGCUGCGGCGCCUGGACGGACAGACGGACGGAGGAAGCGGGACGGACCGGGCGGGGCCGGCGGGCGCGGGCGCGGUGGCUCCGCACCCGGCGGCUGCAGCGAUGCGGGGGCGCCGGGAGGCCUGAGAGCAGAGACCCGCCCGGGGAACACCGGAAUGGAGGCAGAAGGCUUGGAUUGGCUCCUGGUCCCCUUGCACCAGCUGGUUUCCUGGGGGGCAGCCGGGGCCAUGGUCUUCGGAGGAGUGGUGCCCUAUAUCCCCCAGUACAGGGACAUCCGGAGGACUCAGAAUGCUGAGGGCUUCUCUACCUACGUGUGCCUGGUGCUCCUGGUGGCUAAUAUUUUACGGAUACUCUUCUGGUUUGGAAGGCAUUUUGAGUCGCCGCUCCUCUGGCAGAGCAUAGUCAUGAUCUUGACCAUGUUACUGAUGUUGAAGCUGUGCACUGAAGUCCGCGUGACAAAUGAGCUGAACGUAAAACGCCGUUUCUUUGCAGCUGCAGAUAAUAAGGACGAAGAAGUCAAGGUGCCCCCCAGGCGGUUGUAUCUGGUGGUUCCUUGUUCAUCCCUGACUGGAGUAGCAUCGGUCCUUUCCUCUUUCUUUUUUCUCCUGGUUGUUCUAGCUAAAGACUUUGACCCUCACCACUUCUGGCACUGGAGCAGCUUCGGGGACUAUGUGCAAUGUGUCCUGGCCUUCACGGGCGUGGCAGGCUACGUCACAUACCUGUCCAUCGACUCAGCCCUUUUUGUGGAGACCCUGGGCUUCCUGGCUGUGCUGACUGAAGCCAUGCUAGGUGUCCCUCAGCUCUACCGCAACUACCGCCACCAGUCCACUGAGGGAAUGAGGUAGGCUCGUGAGCUCGGCGGAGGCUUCAGCCGGGUGGGAAGGCAGCACCUGGAGCGGGUGCGGAGCUCCCCAGAGGCACCGUUACUGCUUCUGCGCACCAUUGGAUGGGUUUUCGAAGAUCCAUGGAGCUGUGCGACCACCACACCGUCUAACGUUUCAACAUUUCCAUGACCCGGAAAGGAAAUCUCGAACCUGCUGGUGAUCCCUCUUCCUUUGCUCCCGGCCUCCCGCCCUUGGCAGCCCCUUCCCUGCGAUCUCUAAGGGUGCUUCGCAUAACCAGAGUCAUGUUUAUCAAGAUGGUGCUCAUGUGGACUAGCGGUGACACCUUCAAGACGGCCUACUUCUUGCUGAAUGGUGCACCCCUCCAGUUCUCCGUGUGCGGCCUGCUGCAGGUGCUGGUGGACCUGGCCAUCCUGGGGCAGGCCUAUGCCUUCGCCCGCCGCCCCCAGAAGCCGGCCCCCCAUGUGGCACACCCAGCCAGUGCCAAGGCCCUCUGAGGCAUCUGGGGAAGAUGAGGAUGUGUGUCUCUCGCAGGGGCGCCAGCCCGGCUGCUGGUAUCCCGAUUGGCCUCUGUGGGUCCGGGUGGGCUGCUGGGGGCCUGGUGCCGACGUCUGUGCUCGCUCACCCUAAGGACGAGUGGAGUGGGCUUCAUACCCCAUGGCUGGGCUGCAGCCGCUUCCCAGGUGAUGGACAAGCAAGUGUGUCCUCCUUCCUCCCAAAACACGCCUGUCUGGAACUUGGAACAUGCACAUGGACCCAGGAAGAGGCAGACCUCAGGCCACUGCUGGACAGAGGGUGCCGGGAAUCCUCCACUGGGUUCCAGCCUGCUGGGGUCUGGGGAUUGACGGGCGGGGUCCCCGGGGCCUGCAGCCUGGGUGACCCUCAGCAGGGGUGGGGUUGGGGAGCAAGGAAGGUGGCACAGAGAACGUGGUCCUGCCCUCUGAAUGGCCCAAACGGUGGGUGCCCUGGUGCCAGCAUGUAACCGAAGGUGAUGGUGGCCGGGGCCUGCAGAGCGUGGCUGGGGCUUUAUAUGCACCUGCUCCUGUGGAAAGGAUGUCGCGAGGAUGCCCAUUACGGGUGCUCUUGCUCCUCUGGCCGGACUUGGCCUCAUCAGAGCUGCCUUCAGUGCAGCUGCCUCAUGGGACUCAGGACGUGGCCCCAGGUGGCAGUGGAUCCAGGGCUGUGCAGGGCAUCCUGAAGAUGCUGGUGCAGACGCCACAGGUAGCAGGGGCAACCUGUGUCCAUGCUCAGGGGCUUGGCACCAGAGCCCGGAGUUGCCCACAAGUCCUGGGGGUGCAGGGGCGGGUAGUCCACGUGUGCUCCCAGGAAAGCCAGGGGCCUGGGGUCAGGCCUGGGCAGAUGAUGCACCCCUGCCCCAGGGAGGGCCACAUGUGUGGGCUUUCCCCCCCCACAUCCUGGGAGUUGCUCACACCUGCAGCAUAGGGCCUUCCACAUGCGUCUUCCAGGGCAGGGAGGGGCCUGCAGGUCAGGAGAGGGGACUGUGGGGCGGGUGUCCCCACGUGCCUAGCUCUCGGGCCUGGGUGACCAUCCAGGGUGGGGGCUGGGCGGGCAUCUUCGGUCGCCCUGCAUCCCCCUCCCCUCCAGUUCUACAUGAGCAUCUCAGCUGUGCCCAAUGGCCCCAGGCAAGCUCCCAGGCCGCCCACAUCUGCGUGUUCUAGAUGCUUCCAUGUGGCCUCCCUUCUGUUGGGCAGAGGGGCAGCUCUGGCAUGUUAGCACAGGCGGUGCCAAAGCUCAGUGGUGUCUGCCCUCAAAGCUGUGUGCUGCUCCUGAGUUUUCCUGUGGACUCUUGAGUGUCCGCGUGAGGGUCCUCGCUGUGACCUGGGCUAUCAGAGGCUCUGAGCACGUUUGUCUCCUACACACGAAGGGGCCACAGCUGUGACCGCACACACCUGGCUGGGGAGACUGUGUCAGCACUGUGGCUCGAACACAAUAAAGCCCUCAUGGAUCCACUGUGGCCUUGUGAAUGGGUAGGGACAGGGCCCUGGUCAGGGGGCCUUGUGUCCGGGCCUCCCUUCACUUGGGGCCCCCAGGGAACAGCAGGCGCCCCUCCUUGGGGUCAACGCUGCCCCAGUGAGGCCCGGGCUGCCGUCUCUGCACGCCCUGGACAGACCAGCCCCUGGGAGGUGGGGCCUCCUGCUGGUGACGCUGGGCCUGCAGAGAUCAAGCGCCGAGUGCCCCUGGAGGCUGAGAAGUGUGUUCAGAGAAAGGCCACGUGGCCCGUUGAGGACGAGGGGAGCCGAGGCAUCUGUGUUGCAAGUAGCGACGGCACGGUCUGUACUGAGCAGCUUUUUUUUCAUGGAGACAGUUUACAUGUGGGGGUGACAUAUCAACAAUAUGAAAAAGACACGGUGAAGAUACACCAAAGUCGUAUUUUAAGUUUUUGGCUGCGUCCCCACCCUCCCCCAGCACUGGCCCCAGAGCUGGUCCAGCCAGUGACGCCGCAUGGCCCUCAGGUGGUGCGCAUCUCCCGCAUGGGCCUUGUCCUGCCUUGUGUGGAUUUUUACUUUCUUUCUGAUGUGUGAAUUAAAAUUAACUUUUAAUUA